CCUACGGGAGGCAGCAGUGAGGAAAUUUGGUCAAUGGGAGAGAUCCUGAACCAGCCAAGCCGCGUGAGGGAAGACGGCCCUAUGGGUUGUAAACCUCUUUUGUCGGAGAACAAAACCCGGGACGUGUCCCGGAUUGCGUUUAUCCGAAGAAAAAGCAUCGGCGAACUCCGUGCCAGCAGCCGCGGUAUUAGGGAGGAUGCGAGCGUUAUCCGGAUUUAUUGGGUUUAACGGGUGCGUAGGGGGUCCGUUAAGUCAGCGGUAAAAUUGGGGGGUUCAACCCCGUCGAGCCGUUGAAACUGGGAGACUUGAGUGGGCGAGAGGUACGCGGAAGGCGCGGUGUAGCGGUGAAAUGCAUAGAUA
rnacentral:rRNA from 1 species